rnacentral:rRNA from 1 species
GACGAACGCUGGCGGCGUGCCUAAUACAUGCAAGUUGAGCGCUGAAGGUUGGUACUUGUACCGACUGGAUGAGCAGCGAACGGGUGAGUAACGCGUGGGGAAUCUGCCUUUGAGCGGGGGACAACAUUUGGAAACGAAUGCUAAUACCGCAUAACAACUUUAAACACAAUUUUUAAGUUUGAAAGAUGCAAUUGCAUCACUCAAAGAUGAUCCAGCGUUGUAUUAGCUAUUUGGUGAGGUAAAGGCUCACCAAGGCGAUGAUACAUAGCCGACCUGAGAGGGUGAUCGGCCACAUUGGGACUGAGACACGGCCCAAACUCCUACGGGAGGCAGCAGUAGGGAAUCUUCGGCAAUGGACGAAAGUCUGACCGAGCAACGCCGCGUGAGUGAAGAAGGUUUUCGGAUCGUAAAACUCUGUUGGUAGAGAAGAACGUUGGUAAGAGUGGAAAGCUCAUCAAGUGACGGUAACUACCCAGAAAGGGACGGCUAACUACGUGCCAGCAGCCGCAGUAA